rnacentral:rRNA from 1 species
AUUGAACGCUGGCGGCAGGCCUAACACAUGCAAGUCGAGCGGAUGAAGGGAGCUUGCUCCUGGAUUCAGCGGCGGACGGGUGAGUAAUGCCUAGGAAUCUGCCUGGUAGUAGGGGAUAACGUCCGGAAACGGGCGCUAAUACCGCAUACGUCCUGAGGGAGAAAGUGGGGAAUCUUCGGACCUCACGCUAUCAGAUGAGCCUAGGUCGGAUUAGCUAGUUGGUGGGGUAAAGGCCUACCAAGGCGACGAUCCGUAACUGGUCUGAGAGGAUGAUCAGUCACACUGGAACUGAGACACGGUCCAGACUCCUACGGGAGGCAGCAGUGGGGAAUAUUGGACAAUGGGCGAAAGCCUGAUCCAGCCAUGCCGCGUGUGUGAAGAAGGUCUUCGGAUUGUAAAGCACUUUAAGUUGGGAGGAAGGGCAGUAAGUUAAUACCUUGCUGUUUUGACGUUACCAACAGAAUAAGCACCGGCUAACUUCGUG